rnacentral:tRNA from 1 species
GCUUCGGUCAGGCCCCGGAAACGCUGGGCAUAGUCUCCCUUGGUAAGGGAGAGGUCGAGAGUUCAAUCCUCUCUCGCAGCACCA